GACGAACGCUGGCGGCGUGCUUAACACAUGCAAGUCGAACGGAAAGGCCCUGCUUUUGUGGGGUGCUCGAGUGGCGAACGGGUGAGUAACACGUGAGUAACCUGCCCUUGACUUUGGGAUAACUUCAGGAAACUGGGGCUAAUACCGGAUAGGAGCCCCUGCUGCAUGGUGGGGGUUGGAAAGUUUCGGCGGUUGGGGAUGGACUCGCGGCUUAUCAGCUUGUUGGUGGGGUAGUGGCUUACCAAGGCUUUGACGGGUAGCCGGCCUGAGAGGGUGACCGGCCACAUUGGGACUGAGAUACGGCCCAGACUCCUACGGGAGGCAGCAGUGGGGAAUAUUGCACAAUGGGCGGAAGCCUGAUGCAGCAACGCCGCGUGCGGGAUGACGGCCUUCGGGUUGUAAACCGCUUUCGCCUGUGACGAAGCGUGAGUGACGGUAAUGGGUAAAGAAGCACCGGCUAACUACGU
rnacentral:rRNA from 1 species